rnacentral:SRP_RNA from 1 species
GCCGGGCGCAGUGGCGUGUGCGUGUGGGCUGAGGCUGGAAGAUCGCUUGAGUCCAGGAGUUCUGGGCUGUAGUGCGCUAUGCUGAUUGGGUGUCCGCACUAAGUUCAGCAUAAAUACAGUGACCUCCCGGGAGUGGGGGGACCACCAGGUUGCCUAAGGAGGGGUGAACUGGCCCAGGUCCGAAAUGGAGCAAGUCAAAACUCCCGUGCUGAUCAGUAGUGGGAUUGAUUGCACCUGUGAAUAGCUACUGCACUCUAGCCUGGGCAACAUAGCAAGACCCCGUCUCU